GGAGUACAGGAUGACUUUCUGCUUGAAGCCGAUGCUUGUGAUGUCACAGGCGUCGCUUUGUAGAAAGUGUAUGGAUUAGGUCGCUUGAGGGCGUACUGGAUUUUGUGUGUUACUGAUUUUCCACGUCAUGGGAUAGUUGCCUCCCAGAGUUGCCUAAGUUUUCGUUUAAUUUUGUGAUACAAGCCCAAUGAUAUUGAACCUUGCCUGCUACAGUGUAUAACCAAAUUACAGUGCAUGGUGUCAUUACUAUGGGUCUUGGGCAACUAGUUAGUUCGCCAAAUCGUCCACCACAA